rnacentral:rRNA from 1 species
AGCCUACGGGAGGCAGCAGUGGGGGAUAUUGCACAAUGGGGGCAACCCUGAUGCAGCGACGCCGCGUGAGCGAUGGAGUACUUCGGUAUGUAAAGCUCUGUCAGCAGGGAAGAGAAUGACGGUACCUGACCAAGAAGCCCCGGCUAAAUACGUGCCAGCAGCCGCGGUAAUACGUAUGGGGCAAGCGUUAUCCGGAUUUACUGGGUGUAAAGGGAGCGUAGGCGGCAGGGCAAGCCUGAUGUGAAAAUCCGGGGCCCAACCCCGGAACUGCAUUGGAAACUGUAUUUCUAGAGUGUCGGAGAGGC